rnacentral:misc_RNA from 1 species
UCUCCGUAGGUGAACCUGCGGAAGGAUCAUUCAUAAUAAGUGUUUUAGGGCACUUUUUUAAAUCCAUUUCCACCUUGUGUGCAAUGUCAGGGUUGAUUUUUCUCUCGAGAGGAUCAACCCCAAACAUCAACUAUAUCUCAACUCUUUGUCUGAAAAAUAUUAUGUAUAAAACAAUUCAAAAUACAACUUUCAACAACGGAUCUCUUGGCUCUC